CAUGGAUGUUGAAGGCUCCAUGGAGCCCAGGGUCCAUUGCAGGGCCACAGAUGGAAAUAAAAAAAAAAACAUUCAGACCUUUGGUCAGUGUUUUUAUUAAAUGACUUAAUGUUGUUUUGCUCCUUGAAGCACCCAGGGAGAGACGCUAACAUCUCAAAGCGUACUGUACUGUGUCUCGGCUGACUGUGCUGGAACAUGGUAAUUUACCAUGUGCACACUCACGUGCAUGUACGUGCACAGUAGCAGCCAGAGAGUGACACACCAGUGCCUGUCUUUGGCUACAAAUGACUCAGCCUGUGCCAGAACGCACAGACCACAUGGUCUAAGUGACCAAUCACCUGCAAUUACCAUCAGCAGCUGACCCAUCCCGCGUCUCGCUCCAUCUCUUUACCCCUCCACUGCCACGUCUUUUCAAAACCAUCUGUUUUUGUAUUCCUCCCCCCCUUCACCCACUCUCUCCCUCAUAUCAUGCUCUGCUCCCAAUCGUCUUCCUCAAUAAAGUGCCAUAUCGUCUCGCCCAGCGUUCCAUAUUCUUUCUGCCGUGUCUCUCACUUUUCAUUUUGUUUUCUCCGACUCCUAACCUCCUCUCUUUUACUGACUCCGUCGCUUCUCUUUGUUUAGUAUUCACCCGUUGUCUCUCACGACGAGUAAUCGAUGAACUCGUUCGUCUUUCACAGUGGCUGAGCCCUGAACUCUGUCACAAACACUGGCGCGUCUUCCAACAACAGGCGACUGAAAACAUUGCUCUUUGGAAAGCAUUCCAGGGAUUUUUGAAAUUCAGAUAAAUGUAUUUCAACAAAAACAGAAGGUGUGACCCAACAGAAAUGGAUCCAGUCAUAGUACUGUAUCUCCUCUGUAUUUAACCCCUAACAACAGGUACAGUCCUGUGUAUGCACUGAUAGGUUGUUUAUGUCACUCUCCCUAAAAAAUGUGAGUACUGCCCUGUAAUUAGUUUUUUUUUUAAGUACUUUAGACAUUAGUACUACUCUGUUCAACCAUUCAUCUUGUUGCUGUGGUUGACAAGUAUAUGGACCUAAUUGGAUGAGUGGGAAAAAUAAUUUCCUUCUUUUUCUUGGUUUUUAAUAGGUUCAAUUAUUCCCUGGAAAAUCUGUGUUGUUCACAAUUUUAUUAAUUUGUUCCUUAGUUUGUUUGUUUAUUUGUGUCUUUGGAGAUAAAGGAAGACAUAAGACAGAAAAGCGGAACCUUUGGCAGCGGAGCUGUUUCAGUUCAGGUGCCUCUGGGUGUGGCCGUCCGCUAAUGCGAGGAGAACCGAGAGUUCCGGGCACUAAUUGCUGCUGCAACUUGUCUGUUUUAACGGUGUGCUGUGAGCCAUGGGACGAUCUGCUGUUGCACACAGCUCCAUGGAGGCAGGAUGAGAAGAACAUGUGUUGUUGGUGGAUGAAAUGAGCCACUUCCCUCUCUCUUCCCAUGGACAGAUGACAUGUCCGACCUUCAGCAUUUCAAACAGCUGCUCCCUUCAGGUCCGUGAAUCUUCUCUGUGGUCAUCAACAGUCUCUGUAUCUACUUCCAACUUAGCCUCCCACUGUUUGGAAAGUGACGCUGUCCUCCAACACGACACAGGGACACAACAGUGUCUACACUGUACAGCCCACCCCCCCCCCGACCCCCAUCAGCAGCAGCCCCCUCAACAGAAGCUGUUCAACAGACCCCACCAGGUAAAACAUAUAGAUACUUUUUCUUUGCACUGCCGUCUAACGUAGUAGCUUUCUGGAAAAUACGGCCUUACUGUCCACCAAUCCUGUGUGAUUUAGGUCGCUCCAUUUAUCAUGGCACUAUUUUGGUUCAAAUACAAUUUCUUUUAUAUUAAAAUAAUCCUUAUAGUGACAUGUACAAACAUAAAUCAUGAAAAUAAGGUUUACCUAAAU